GUAUUACUCCCUCCCUUCCAAAAUACUUGACUUUCGUUUGUUCAAAAAUGGAUGUACCUAUAUACUAAAACAUGUCUAGAUACAUCUACAUUUUGACAAAUGAAAGGCAUGUAUUGUGGAACGGAGAGAGUAUUAU
rfam:Triticum aestivum genome assembly, contig: Triticum_aestivum_CS42_TGACv1_scaffold_249625_3DL